rnacentral:tRNA from 1 species
GCCGGAGUGGCGGAACGGUCUACGCAGCGGACUUAAAAUCCGUACCCAGCAAUGGGCUGUGGGUUCGAAUCCCACCUCCGGCA